AUUUAUUCUCUUUAAUAAUACCCAUUCUGACUGGGAUGAGAUGGUAUCUCAUUGUGGUUUUCCUUGGCAUUUAUCUGAUGAUCAGUGAUGCUGAGGAUAUUUUAUAUG